rnacentral:lncRNA from 1 species
AUGCCCCUGUAUGAGACUUUAAAUAGAAGCAAAAACCGAAGAGACCUUCUGGCAACCUUGGUGGUGAUAUCUGAUCCUUUGGGGGCAGGUACAGGAUGGGAGAAGGGGAGCUUGAGUAGGUCAGGAGCCCAGAGGAGAGAUAGCAGCCACAAGUCAGGAGUGGUGAGAAUGGGGACGAUUGAACACAUUUGAGAAUUUUGUUUUUUAUUUUUAAUUAAAAAAAAAAUGUUAUGUUUGUUUUUGAGAGUGAGAGAGACAGAGCACAAGCGGGGGGAGGGGCAGAGAGAGAGGGAGACACAGGAUCCAAAGCAGGCCUCAGGCCCUAAACUGUCAGUGCAGAGCCGGAUGCGGGGCUCGAACCCGCGGACCGUGAGAUCAUGACCUGAGCUGAAGUCGGACACUCAACUGACGGAGCCACCCAGGCGCUGAAAAAUAUUUAAUUUUUUUUUUUUUUAAUGUGUAUUUAUUUUUGAGAGAGACAGGAAGAGACAGAGCACAAGCAGGGGAGGGGCAGAGAGAGAAGGAGACACAGAGUCUGAAGCAGCCUCCAGGCUCUGAGCUGUCGGCACAGAGCCCGACGCGGGGCUCGAACUCACGGACCGUGAGAUCACGACCUGAGCCGAAGUCGGACGCUCAACCAACGGAGCCACCCAGGCGCCCCACUGAGGAAUAUCUGAGAGGCUGCAUAGACAAACUCGGAGACCAAUGCCAUGUUGCAGAGACGGGAGGCGAUAGGAAUGAAGAGUGAAGCCGAGACCUGGGCUCAGGCACCUGGGUGGAUGGUGGCACCGUUCAUCAAAAUAGAGAAAACAGGUGAAGAAGCUGGUUGGGGCGUUGAUUCGCGAUAUUGGUGUUAGAAUAUGUUGAUACAGGAUUCCUACAGGACGAUAGCUUGGAGACCAUCGAGAUAUCCGUUUGUCUGAAUCUGUAGGGCCCGUGACCCUGGAGUAAAGCCUGGUGCCCGGGGUGUGUUGGCGGCUGUACAAGCACGUCUGGAAUCUGGCCCAGCAUCAGGCCGAGCGAGCACAGGGCCUUGCGUCGCUGCGUAUUGAAACUGACUUGUCAGGCCACGGAGCUACAGAGAAGAAAGGCUCUGGCCGAGGCAGGCAAGCAGGCGCCCCGCUCAAUAAUUCAGCACAGAGCCUGUCUUGGCUGCGGAGCUACCAUCACAAGGAGCGUUUUUAAAGCCAAA